GCUUAUACACUGGGAUAACUCAGUCAGUAGAGCAUGAGACUAUUGAUCCCAGGGUUGUGGGUUCAAGUCCCACAUUGGGCA